rnacentral:rRNA from 1 species
AUGCGUGGCCAACCACUGGCCUUCUGUCAAUGGUCCGGUGGAUCCCAAUUCUGGCAGGCAGUCAUUCAACUGCUCCCCGUUCUCCGCAUUGGGACUUCCAUAUCGGUCGGAUCGGGAUCAGUGACCCUGUUCUGGUUUGACCGAUAGGCGGGAGACACCCCCUUCGCGGCUCGUUUCCCCGACCUCUUCUCCCUCGCUGUCGUCCCGACGAUCUCAGUUGAACGGGCCCUUAUUGACUUAGGGCGCCUCGCGUUCCGGAGGCCAUUUGGGCCUCCGAAAGUUGCCGCAUGGCAUGAGCUUCUUCAGUGCGUCGCCCUCCAUGAGCCGGCUGUCGAUGCGGGACCGGAUGAGGUCCGUUGGCGCCUUGAGCCUUCGGGCUAAUUCUCCACUAAGUCCCUCUACUCGGCCAUUGCCCCCUCCUCCACCCCGUCCCCCCUCAAGGCGGUGUGGUCCAUUCGCCUGCCUCUGAAAAUCCGGAUCUUCAUGUGGCAAUGGAUCCGCGGACGGCUCCCGUCUGUGGUGGAGGUCUGCAAGCGCAAUGGUCUGGGCUCUGGUCUUUGCCCGUUCUGUGGUACCCCCGAAGAUUUGAACCACAUCUUCUUCUCCUGCGUGUCUGCUCAAUUCGUUUGGAGCUGUUUUAGAGAGGCUGUGGGUGGUGAUUGGUGCCACACCAACUUCCCCGACCUCUACGCCGAACUCUAG